AUUGAACGCUGGCGGCAAGCCUUACACAUGCAAGUCAAACGGCAGCGCGGGAGCAAUCCUGGCGGCGAGUGGCGAACGGGUGAGUAAUAUAUCGGAACGUGCCCUAGAGUGGGGGAUAACUAGUCGAAAGAUUAGCUAAUACCGCAUACGAUCUACGGAUGAACGUGGGGGAUCGCAAGACCUCAUGCCCGUGGAGCGGCCCAUAUCUGAUUAGCUAGUUGGUAGGGUAAAAGCCUACCAAGGCCACGAUCAGUAGCUGGUCUGAGAGGACGACCAGCCACACUAGGACUGAGACACGGCCCAGACUCCUACGGGAGGCAGCAGUGGGGAAUUUUGGACAAUGGGGGAAACCCUGAUCCAGCAAUGCCGCGUGUGUGAAGAAGGCCUUCGGGUUGUAAAGCACUUUUGUCCGGAACGAAACGGGCCGAGCUAAUAUCUUGGCCUAAUGACGGUACCGGAAGAAUAAGCACCGGCUAACUACGUGCCAGCCGCCGCCGUAA
rnacentral:rRNA from 1 species